GCUCCAAUAGCUGAGUGGUCCAGCACUUGGGAGUUAUGAUUGACGGAACACAGCUCACCAAGAGGAGGUCAGUUCGAUUCUGGCUUGGAGUG